rnacentral:rRNA from 1 species
UACGAAGGGGGCUAGCGUUGUUCGGAAUCACUGGGCGUAAAAGCGCACGUAGGCGGAUCUUUAAGUCAGGGGUGAAAUCCCGAGGCUCAACCUCGGAACUGCCUUUGAUACUGGGGAUCUCGAGUUCGGGAGAGGUGAGUGGAACUGCGAGUGUAGAGGUGAAUUCGUAGAUAUUCGCAAGAACACCAGUGGCGAAGGCGGCUCACUG